UAGGGAAUCUUCGGCCAUGGACGACAGUCUGACCGAGCAACGCCGCGGGAGUGAAGAAGGUUUUCGGAUCGUAAAACUCUGUUGUUCGAGAAGAACAAGGACGUUAGUAACUGAACGUCCCCUGACGGUAUCUAACCAGAAAGCCACGGCUAACUACGUGCCAGCAGCCGCGGUAAUACGUAGGUGGCAAGCGUUGUCCGGAUUUAUUGGGCGUAAAGCGAGCGCAGGCGGUUUCUUAAGGCUGAUGUGAAAGCCCCCGGCUCAACCGGGGAGGGUCAUUGGAAACUGGGAGACUUGAGUGCAGAAGAGGAGAGUGGAAUUCCAUGUGUAGCGGUGAAAUGCGUAGAUAUAUGGAGGAACACCAGUGGCGAAGGCGGCUCUCUGGUCUGUAACUGACGCUGAGGCUCGAAAGCGUGGGGAGCAACCAGG
rnacentral:rRNA from 1 species